GGCGGGGCCUGAGCCCAUGGGCGGGGUGGAACCUCAGCAAGGUCUCUCCAUUGAGCGUUCAGGCAAGAUAGAUGGUUUUCCUGCCGGGUUUUGAGCACGGGAUCCAAGAGAGUCUUGUUAUCCAGUGCACUACAGCAGUGGGAUACAUUUGAGCAAGAGUUAGACCUUUGAACCGUCAGCCUAUUGAAGGGAUGCUGGGCCUGGGACGAAGGGUUAAGCCUUUCCUGUGGUUGCUGUGGAAGUUACGCAUCCCGAUUUCAGCCCUGCUUGAGUUCUGGUUCUGACUUCCUCCAAUGAUAGACUGUGAUCGGAAAUGUAAGCCAAAUAAACCCUUUCCUUCCUUGUAGUUGGUAUUUUCUUUGGGUCACCAACCAACUCCCAAAUAAUGACACAGAGAGUUCUGAUUAAUUGUGGAUGCUUGGUUUUGCUUAGGCUUGUCCCACUAGGUCUUUUAAUUUAAUCUGUUUCUAUUAAUCUAAAUUUUGCCUAGGGACUUGUUACCUUUCUUUCAUUCUGGAUGUCCCACUUUCCCUGCUUCCUCCAUGUCUGUCUGUCUGGUCCCUGGUGUAAUGUGGUGGUAUUGUGUUCCCCAAAAUAUUGUGUACCCUAAUAAACUUAUCUGGGGUCAGAGAACAGAAAAGCCACUAGAUACUUAGGAUAGGCAGUGGUAGCACACGCCUUUAAUCCUAGCAUUCCAGAGGCAGAAAUCCAUGUGUUCAAGGAUACAGCCAAGCAUGGUGACUCAUGCCUUUAAUCCCAGGGCAGUGGUGGUAGAAAGCAGAAAGGUAUAUAAGGUGUGAGGACCAGAAACUAGAAGCAUUUGGUCUGGUUCAGCAUUUGGCUGAUUAAGCUUUUAUGUUUCGAGCAGCACAGUUCAGCUGAGAGCCAUUCGGAUAUGAGGACACAGAGGCUUCCAGUCUGAGGAAACAAGAUCAGCUGAGAAGUUGGCCAGUUUCAGGUCAAGAGAAUAUCCCACAGAAAAAUCCCCAAAGCAGGCCCAGAGUUCAUCCUGUCACUUGACAAGUUCUGCACUCUGUACAGACAGCAUCCUCUGGCAAAAGGGGCACCACACAUAAUGAUCCGGUCUCCUGGCCACUGCCAGGGCUAGCAAUGGCUUCUGUCCCACCCAACACACACAGAGUCGGGUGAUUGGCCAGUGGAAAAGGCAGGCGGCUGCUGUACAGACAAAAAGAAUGCUGGGGAUAUGGAAAUGAAGGCAUGCAGCGUCGUUUCUUCCAACGUGAUGAAGGAGACAAGCGAAGACAGUGAUGACAAAGUGGAUAAAUGUCCUGCACACCACACAUCACGGUUUUGCAGAGCAAAGGACUCCUGGUCCAGGGAAUGGUCCAACCUACAAUCAAGAGGAGUUGUCCUAUAUCAUCAACUAAUGUAUCAAGAUAUCCAAUCCUGGGUCCUGUCCAUCUGAAAGCUGACACUAACCAUCACAGAGGCAUUGAAGCCAAUCUAGAGUGACAGAAAGUUGGUACAAACCUUCCAAGAAUAGGAAAGAUGACAACUGGGUAGUAGGUAGUUGCAACAACUGGUAGUAUAUGACAGGCAAAAGGAGAGGUUAAUUCUAGUGCCAACCCUACCAGUGGCUAGUCAUGAGUUCUUUAAAUAAACUGCUGGUAGUAGUGCAAGGAUGGCCUUUUAAUGAGUUCCUAAGUUUUUUUUCAUAUUUUUAAUCUAAUUAUUAUUUAUGUUAUAUAUGCAUAUGUAUGUGUGUGCACGCAUGCAUAUAUGCACAUGUAGGUGACCCCAGAGGCCAGAAGAGGGUGUCAGAUUGAUUGGAACUAGAGUUACAAACUGCACCACCAUGUGGGUACUGGGACCCAAACCUGGAUCCUCUGCAAGAGCAGUAAGUGCUCUUAACCCCUGAGCAGUCUCCCCAGCUCUGGAGUCUCACUACUACCUUACAAGUUCUUGGCACAGAUCGGUCCAAUUCAUACAACAGAGACCUAAACACCCAGCGUUUGAUUUUGAUCAAUCGUGUAAUUAAGUGACAACCGGCCCGGUUUUCUAAUUAUUUCUGGAAGAGAUCACCUGAGUGCAGCCACUGAGAGUAAGAGGCCACAGAAACGGUCAUGUUGGGAGCACAUCCUGAAGUGAACAACGUCAUCUCUAUGGUGAUGUCCUACUCUUUCCCAGUCAGCCAUUCCCCAGGAAGCCCUGCUGUUCAAGUUCAGAGGUGAAUUAGCAGUCAUUUCUGUGUUGCUUUGCUUCUCUGAGAUAUAGUUUGGAAACAGUCAAGUAAUUAAAGCCAAAACUCAAAUCAUCUUGACUUUCUUUUCUUCAUAUAAGGCUUCUGGGGUUCAUUCACUCAUCUACCCAGAUGCUAGGAUGUUCGUAGGUAGGUGUUACAAGUGGAAUCUGACUUCCUGAGCCCCCACUGUGCUCACAGACCAUGUGUAAAGUAUAUACAGCAAAGCCAUAAAGUGAAGGGGAGACAGUAAGGGGACUGAAGCUACCAAGGUAGACUAGAGAUGCACAAAGGUUUCUCCUGGGAUGGUUCCCAUGGCGAGAGGUUCAGAACACAAGUCAGAUGGCAGUUCGUCUGGACCUGUUCAAGAUGCAUCACUUCUUCUUUGAAUGCCUUUCAUUUAAUAAAUUUUGAUUUAUUCUUCAUCCUAA